AGUGGAUGGGGAGCAACCUAGUUGUGCGUGUGUAAAGGUAGUGCCAAGAAAAGCGGUGAUCAUGAUGAAAAUCAAUUCCCGGUACCCGAAACCGACACAGGUGGGCAAGUAGAGAAUACUAAGGGGCGCGAGGUAACUCUCUCCAAGGAACUCGGCAAAAUGACCCCGUAACUUAGGGAGAAGGGGUGCCACCGAGAGGUGGUCGCAGUGAAGAGGCCCAGGCGACUGUUUAGCAAAAACAUAGGUCUCUGCAAACUCGAAAGAGGAGGUAUAGGGGCUGACGCCUGCCCAGUGCCGGAAGGUUAAAGAAGUUGGUCAGUCUUAGGAUAAAGCUAGCGACUGAAGCCCCGGUGAACGGCGGCCGUAACUAUAACGGUCCUAAGGUAGCGAAAUUCCUUGUCGGGUAAGUUCCGACCCGCACGAAAGGCGUAACGAUCUGGGCGCUGUCUCGGAGAGAGGCUCGGCGAAAUAGGAUUGUCUGUGAAGAUACGGACUACCUGCAUUUGGACAGAAAGACCCUAUGAAGCUUUACUAUAGCUUGAAUUGUGUUCGGGCUUCCUGUGCGCAGGAUAGGUGGGAGGCGAAGAAGGUAUUCUUGUGGGGAUACUGGAGCCAACGGUGACAUACCACUCUCAGGAGGCUAGAAUUCUAACUUAAUUAAGGACAGUUUCAGGUGGGUAGUUUGACUGGGGCGGUCGCCUCCAAAAAGGUAACGGAGGCGUACAAAGGUUCCCUCAGACUGGUUGGAAAUCAGUCGCAGAGUGCAAAGGCAGAAGGGAGCUUGACUGCGAGAAGUACAGUUCGAGCAGGGUGGAAACACGGUCUUAGUGAUCCGACGGUGCUGUGUGGAAGGGCCGUCGCUCAACGGAUAAAAGUUACUCUAGGAUAACAGGCUGAUCUCCCCCAAGAGUUCACAUCGACGGGGAGGUUUGGCACCUCGAUGUCGGCUCAUCGCAACCUGGGGCGGAAGUACGUCCCAAGGGUUGGGCUGUUCGCCCAUUAAAGCGGUACGUGAGCUGGGUUCAGAACGUCGUGAGACAGUUCGGUCCAUAUCCGAUGUAGGCGUGAGAAUAUUGAGAGGAGCCUUCCUUAGUACGAGAGGACCGGGAAGGACGCACCGCUGGUGUACCUGUUAUGAUGCCAAUUGUAAACGCAGGGUAGCCAAGUGCGGAGAGGAUAACCGCUGAAAGCAUCUAAGUGGGAAGCCCACCUCAAGAUGAGUAUUCUGGUGUAAGGUCACGGGAAGACGACCCGUAAAUAGGCACGAGGUGGAAGUGCAGAGAUGUAUGAAGCCGAAGUGUACUAAUAGACCGUCGGCUUGAUC
rnacentral:rRNA from 1 species